rnacentral:rRNA from 1 species
UACGUAGGGUGCGAGCGUUAAUCGGAAUUACUGGGCGUAAAGCGUGCGCAGGCGGUUCGUUAAGUUCGAUGUGAAAGCCCCGGGCUCAACCUGGGAAUGGCAUUGGAAACUGGCGGACUCGAGUGUGGCAGAGGGGGGGUGGAAUUCCGCGUGUAGCAGUGAAAUGCGUAGAGAUGCGGAGGAACACCGAUGGCGAAGGCAGCCCCCCUGGGUUAACACUGACGCUCAGGCACGAAAGCGUGGGGAGCAAACAGG